GGAGUUAAUUCAUAUUAGUGAUAUGCCUUUUUUUUUUUGCGAACAAUAUUUGUGGUAUGCAACAGUUUUAAGAAUUGUCAGUUUUUUGUAGUAUUGCAAAAAAAAUAUGGGUCUGUCUAAGACACAGUUAUGUCACAUCUAACCUGAUGUCCAUUAUGUUUGUGGUCUAUUUUUUUUAUCAUAACUUUUUUUUUGUUCUUUGUUGCUGCGUUAUUUGUGGGAGUUUAGAUGUGACAUCCUUAGAAAACAUCUAGAUGUGAAUUAGACAAACUGAAAAAAAAUAUAAUACGUUUGAGGCACAUGGUGAAACCAAUUGCAUAUAUAUAUUUUUUGAUUCUAUAUAUGCUUACAUGCAGCUGAAUGUUCUUGUCCUUGCGUACCGAGUAAAUAAGAAGCUAAACAUCUUAGAAAGUCCAGCCUAUCAUUGUACUCCCUCCGUUCCAAAUUAGUUGACUUGAAUUUGUCUAAAUAUGAAUAUAUCUAUACUUGUUUAGUGUCUAGAUACAUCCGUAUCUAGAUAAAUAUGGGUCAAGUAAUUUGGAACGAAGUACAUGAGAACGUAUCUGGUGAAACGACUGAAUUGGUGCACCAGAUGCACCAGCUAUGUAUGGGCCGCUGGAUUCGAAAGAAAGGGACAUGAUUCAGUGCGAUGAUGGGCCUGAUGGUACAUUUGCAGACCAGUCCUUGCAGCUCAGCUAAAUCCAACGAAUUGGCCUCCCCGUACUCAGAUCGUCUUCCUCCCCUUUGCCAGAUUCUGUACCAGUACAUCCUCCUGGAGCUAGGGUUAAGGUCCAGCGAGCUCAAAGAUGGAUCUCAGGCCGUCUCUCCCUCUUCUGUACCACUCAGGCGAAUUAGGGUUAUUAAAUUUCGACGAUCUCUCUCAACAAUCCGCCGCCGCCGCCGUCAGCACUAUCCAUCGACAGCUGCUCAAGGAUGUAGGUCAUUAUGGAGUCUCAUUGCCUGGAGCCGGUAAAUCUGUUGAAGAGGCUGAGCUAUGACUGGGUAAUCUUCAGAGGAGUCAUCUUCAUAGGUCUCCAAGAUGGCAUUGAUGAAACUGAUAAUUUCACCUCUAGUACUAGUCUAGAUCGUGUAUGGUUGUCUCAGGCAGUCAGGCUUCAGUUUUUGUAGCACCAUGUAAUCAUCAAGAAUGUACAUUUGCUAGAAAAUCUUGUAUGCAGGUUUUCUGUAGUUUACAUGAGUGGUUGUUGUAUAAUAUGCAGAUGCUUGUGUUGUUCCGAUGUGAAAAACGUGAUGUUCUUGCAUAGAAGCAUCUAAAGAAAAUGUAUUCAGAUAUCCUUUUGUUGUUACCGGUA